rnacentral:rRNA from 1 species
UACGUAGGGGGCGAGCGUUGUCCGGAUUUAUUGGGCGUAAAGAGCUCGUAGGCGGUUUGGCAAGUCGGGUGUGAAAACUCCGGGCUCAACUCGGAGACGCCACUCGAUACUGCUAUGACUUGAGUCCGGUAGGGGAGUGCGGAAUUCCUGGUGUAGCGGUGAAAUGCGCAGAUAUCAGGAGGAACACCGGUGGCGAAGGCGGGUCUCUGGGCCGUAACUGACGCUGAGGAGCGAAAGCGUGGGGAGCGAACAGG